rnacentral:misc_RNA from 1 species
UUUGAAUUGCUGUAUAAGAUGACAAAGUCCUCCAAUGUUGAAGUGAUUGUUGAUCGAAUGAUUGAUUACAUGAUCAAUAUUAAUGAUAAUCAUUACAAAACUGAAAUAGCAUCUCGAUGUGUAGAACUUGCAGAGCAAUUUGCACCUAGCAACCACUGGUUUAUUCAGACCAUGAAUAGAGUCUUUGAGCACGCUGGAGAUCUAGUAAAAAGUAAGGUGGCUCAUAACUUGAUGCGCUUAAUUGC